rnacentral:rRNA from 1 species
UACGGAGGAUCCAAGCGUUAUCCGGAUUUAUUGGGUUUAAAGGGUGCGUAGGCGGCCAUUUAAGUCAGGGGUGAAAGACGGUGGCUCAACCAUCGCAGUGCCCUUGAUACUGAUUGGCUUGAAUGUACUAGAGGAAGGCGGAAUGAGACAAGUAGCGGUGAAAUGCAUAGAUAUGUCUCAGAACACCGAUUGCGAAGGCAGCUUUCCAUGGUACCAUUGACGCUGAGGCACGAAAGCGUGGGGAUCAAACAGG